UUCACAUGUAUAUGGGAUGUCCAACUCUUGGGCAUCCUUAUUUGCUCACUCAAGGUGUGAAAACAAAGAAUGGCAUGGCCUCUCUCUUGGCAUGAAAAGGGGCGUGGCCUCUCCCUCUUAGCAUGAACUUAUUCAUGUCCAAAAUGGGGGCGUGAGGAUUUGGAUAAUGGUUUGGCAUGAACCAAGUUUCCACAUAUGGGUAUGGGGCAUUAACCACUU
rnacentral:lncRNA from 1 species